AACGCAAGUUGCGGUUCUCUUUCGGGAACCAUGUUUGGCUGAGGGUUGUUUUCACAUACAGUGAGGCGUGUCUUUUAAGACUCCCUUCAAGCACCGCAGUGUCACAGCUGCCGUACACACACAAGACUGGUCACCAGCCGGCCUUGUUCUCGGACAAGGAGGGUUGCGGCAUGUCGGUUGCAUGUACAUUUACCAGCAAGAGUGAGGGGCGGAAGCCUCUUGCUUGCUUAAAAUGCGGGUAGAUGGACGUGGAACGGGUAAUAAGUGCGGCAACAACAACUACUCCCUUGUUCUAUUCACGCAACCUCAGAUCAAGCAAGACUACCCGCUGAACUUAA
rnacentral:misc_RNA from 1 species